rnacentral:rRNA from 1 species
AGUGAACGCUGGCGGUAGGCCUAACACAUGCAAGUCGAACGGCAGCACAGUAAGAGCUUGCUCUUACGGGUGGCGAGUGGCGGACGGGUGAGGAAUACAUCGGAAUCUACUUUUUCGUGGGGGAUAACGUAGGGAAACUUACGCUAAUACCGCAUACGACCUACGGGUGAAAGCAGGGGAUCUUCGGACCUUGCGCGAUUGAAUGAGCCGAUGUCGGAUUAGCUAGUUGGCGGGGUAAAGGCCCACCAAGGCGACGAUCCGUAGCUGGUCUGAGAGGAUGAUCAGCCACACUGGAACUGAGACACGGUCCAGACUCCUACGGGAGGCAGCAGUGGGGAAUAUUGGACAAUCGGCGCAAGCCUGAUCCAGCCAUACCGCGUGGGUGAAGAAGGCCUCCGGGUUGUAAAGCCCUUUUGUUGGGAAAGGAAAGCAGCAGGUUAAUACCCCGCUGUUCUGACGGUACCCAAAGAAUAAGCACCGGCUAACUUCGUG